UUUCAAAGCACUUUGAAGAGAGAGUUAAAGAGGACGUGAAACCGGUAAGGUGGAAACGGAUAGAGUCGGCGUAUCAUUCAAUUAUUCAGUUACAUUAUUUUUAUGUUGUGACCUCUGAGCUCCAGAUUGGGACAGAGGGAAUCAGCAUAAUUUUUUGUGGUGCAUUUACUUGAUUGGUGCUUGGGGAUGUUUGAGGCAGAUUUGUUUCCGUCGUUUUGAGGCCAGCUUGCUGGUACCCAAACGGUGUUAGCAUUUUUUGUCUUGGGCAUUUGAGUAUGGCUCACGUGUAUUUAUUGGACAGAUCUGAGUGUAAGUUACGGUCGCAUGCGACACGUGCUUUUCAAUUAGUUCGGUCCAGUUAAUGCUCUCGUACUCCUUCCCCAUGUAAAAGCCGGUCACCUAUCCGACCCGUCUUGAAACACGGACCAAGGAGUUUAUCGUGUGCGCAAGUUUUUGGGUGUUAAAAACUUAAAAGCGAAAUGAAAGUAAAUGGCUCUUUAGAGUCUGAUGUGCGAUCUUGUAAAAAAGUGCAGCAUGGCCCCAUUCUAACUGUUUACAGUAGGGGGCGGAAGAGCGUACGCGGUGAGACCCGAAAGAUGGUGAACUAUUCCUGAGCAGGACGAAGCCAGAGGAAACUCUGGUGGAAGUCCGAAGCGGUUCUGACGUGCAAAUCGAUCGUCUGACUUGGGUAUAGGGGCGAAAGACUAAUCGAACCAUCAAGUCCGAAAGCGGUUAUC
rnacentral:rRNA from 1 species